rnacentral:rRNA from 1 species
AUUGAACGCUGGCGGCAUGCCUUACACAUGCAAGUCGAACGGUAACAGGGAGCUUGCUCCGCUGACGAGUGGCGAACGGGUGAGUAAUGUAUCGGAACGUACCUUUUAGUGGGGGAUAACGUAGCGAAAGUUACGCUAAUACCGCAUAUUCUCUGAGGAGGAAAGCAGGGGACCUUCGGGCCUUGCGCUAAUAGAGCGGCUGAUAUCAGAUUAGCUAGUUGGUGAGGUAAAGGCUCACCAAGGCGACGAUCUGUAGCGGGUCUGAGAGGAUGAUCCGCCACACUGGAACUGAGACACGGCCCAGACUCCUACGGGAGGCAGCAGUGGGGAAUAUUGGACAAUGGGGGGAACCCUGAUCCAGCCAUGCCGCGUGUGUGAAGAAGGCCUUAUGGUUGUAAAGCACUUUAAGCGAGGAGGAGGCUCUUUUGGUUAAUACCCAAGAUGAGUGGACGUUACUCGCAGAAUAAGCACCGGCUAACUCUGUGCCAGCAGCCGCCGUAA